GGGGUCUCAAGAUAAGCCAUGCACGUCUAAGUACAAACUAAAUGAUGGUGAAACUGCAAAUGGCUCAUUACAACGGUUAUGAUGUACCCGGGAGUUCCGAUGGAUAUUUCCAGUAACACUAGAACUAAUACAUGUCCCUGCGUUUAUUAGUUUCGCACAGUCCGUCGCUGAGUCAUGGUAAACAGUUGAUCGACUCGACGUCCCGGAACAGUUUCCGCCCCAUCAGCUUCGAUGGUUGGGUAUUGGCCUACCAUUGCAACAACGGGUAACGAGGAAUUAGGGUUUGAUUUCGGAGAGGGAGCCUGAGAAACGGCUACCACAUCUACGGAUGGCAGCAGGCGCGCAAAUUACCCAAUGCAGACACUGUGAGGUAGUGACGAGAAAUAAUAAAGCGGGACUUCUGUUUCGCUAUUAUAAUGAGGAAUAACCAAAGGUCAUUCCGAUUAGCAACUGAUGGGAAAGUCUGGUGCCAGCAGCCGCGGUAAUACCAGCGUCAGUAG
rnacentral:rRNA from 1 species